AAAUUUACUUUCUUUAUUUUAAGUGAAAAAAUUUAUUUUUAGGUUAAAAAGCCUAAUUUUUAUUGUAGGACGAGAAGACCCUAUAGAACUUUACUUCUUUAGAAUAAUUGUUUUUUGUUAAUAAUUUCUUUUAUUUAGUGAGAAGUUUUAUUGGGGUGAUAAAAAAAAUUUUAUAACUUUUUUUCUUUAUUUCAUUUAUUUAUGAUUUUUUGAUCCUUUAUUAUGGAUAAUAAGAUUAAGUUACCUUAGGGAUAACAGCGUUAUUAUUUUGGAGAGUUCAUAUCGAUAAAAUAGUUUGCGACCUCGAUGUUGGAUUAAGAUUAGUUUCAGGAGUAGAGGAUUGACGACUAGGUC
rnacentral:rRNA from 1 species